CUGGUCAAGACUGGAAGCUUUACACAUUCAUAUCCAUUUUGUUGAAGAUCUGAUACACCUCUUAUCUACAGAGCAGUUCCCAUGAUGAGCAGUUGCUUGAAGCAGCUUGGUGUCUUACAAACAUAGCUGCUGGAAAACCUAAAGAAACAAGAGCUUAAUUGCCUGCAUUACCUUUACUCAUUGCUCAAAUUGGAGGAGAAGGUGAAGAACCGAGACAAAUUCUGAUUUCUCAAGGGGCAUUACUUCCUCUUGCAAAAAUGAUGUUGCCAAAUAAAGUUUCAGUUAACGGGUGAACCAAGUUUCUCUGAAAUGGCGACAGCAUUGUCAGGGCCUCCUUAUAUCUUUGUUUCUACUCCAGCUUGUGUCCAAAGAUGUCUUUCAUCAGGUGUUCUUCAAGCAAAAUCCGUUCAUGAUUAUCUUUCAAUUAUUAUUCUUGAUAAGGUAUGGAUUCUUUUCUUUCU